rnacentral:rRNA from 1 species
CCUACGGGAGGCAGCAGUGGGGAAUAUUGCACAAUGGGGGAAACCCUGAUGCAGCGACGCCGCGUGAAGGAAGAAGUAUCUCGGUAUGUAAACUUCUAUCAGCCGGGAAGAAAAUGACGGUACCUGACUACGAAGCCCCGGCUAACUACGUGCCAGCAGCCGCGGUAAUACGUAGGGGGCAAGCGUUAUCCGGAUUUACUUGGUGUAAAGGGGGCGUAGGUGGCGAUGCAAGUCAGGAGUGAAAGCUCGGGGCUCAACUCCGGGACUGCUUUUGAAACUGGAUGGCUAGAUUGCAGGAGAGGCAAGUGGAAUUCCUGGUGUAGCGGUGAAAUGCGUAGAUAUUAGGAGGAACACCAGUGGCGAAGGCGGCUUGCUGGACUGUAAAUGACGCUGAGGCACGAAAGCGUGGGGAGCAAACAGGAUUAGAUACCCGGGUAGUC